UGGGUAGCCUAGUGGUGAAAGCAUUCGCUCAUCACACCGAAGGUCCGGGUUUGAUUCCCAACAUGUCCCUGGCAUGAUAUUGCUGGAAUAUUGCUAAAAGCAGUGUAAAACUAAACUCACUCAUGAGUUCUCUUGUUAAUAUUACGUGCAGCUAUGGAGGCGGUGGGGUAGCCAAGUGGUUAAAGCAUUCUCUCAUCACCUCCGAGGCGCAGGUUCUAUUCAUCACAUUGCCAGUGUCUGGUGUCCACCACCAUAAUAUUGCUGGAAUAUUACUAAAGAUAGAGUAAAACCUUCGUCACUCACUCACUUGUACACUCAUGUGCAAACUGGCCUAUAUUUUAACUGUGAUAGAUUUAUUGGCCAAGGGUGCAACCUGUUUUUGUUUGGUGCAACAUGGUGUUCAUGGCCACAUGAACCUGAUGCAAGUUAAAUCUUGAAAUUCAAAUCUUAAAUCAAGCCCUGCUUUACUCUGUUGCUGCACUUCAUUAUGUGAAGAGCUGAUCCCUCAUAAGGAAAGCAUGUAAGAUAAAUGCUGUGAUCAGCCAGUCAGUGGGAACUCUUAUUAAUUCUCAGUAGGAGUAAGUCAAGCUUUCACAGAAAGAUAUCUAAUUUCUGUGAGUUGAAAAACAGACACUUCAAAUGUAAAUAAUAAUGAGAUGAAAAAUAUUGUGAAUAUGUACACACAAGGUCAUUUCUGAGCACCAUGUAUCUACUCAUAGCAGAAGUACAAACAAAAUAAUAUUUGUGUAAAUCAGUGCUCAUGAUGUUAAUCAUGGGAUUGUCUCGUCCAGAUUCCAUUUUUUACAGACUGCCGCCAUAUAGCUGUAUUGGUUUUCAUUUCUUUAAUUGAUUUUUGUAAAAGUAGAUGACAACCUAACUAAAUCAAAUAAUUUUAGAAAGUUGACAUCUGGCUCAAGAGUCCAAGCAUCCUUCAGUUACACUGGGCAGUCAAGGUUCACUGUGAGUCUAACAAGAUCUUCUAUGAAGGGAUCAGAACUUCACACAGAGAGGGAAUGUAUAAAACAUAAAAAUACUUUUCUAAAAAAUAUGACAUGUAGUCGCAGAGUCAUGAUAGGGAGUCAGCUGUUGUUAUUAGUUAACUAAGUAUGUUGAAAGAUUGUUUAUAAUAAUGGUAGUAAUGUGUGUUGAUCUGAGCAUAAUAUUCUAGUGAUAAGUGUGUUGUUAGUAUAAAGCCUGUUAUUGAGCACCUUGAGGAUGUCCUGAAUAACAUGUUCAUGUGUGUUAGUGAAAGUGUGAUCAAUCGAAACUAAAGUUUUGUUGAUUAAACAGUUUGUGUUUUA